GCCUGGCUGGCUCAGCCGGAAGAGCACAAGACUCUUGAUCUUGGGGUUCUGAGUUCGAGCCCCAUGAUGGGUG
rnacentral:tRNA from 1 species